rnacentral:rRNA from 1 species
CUACGUAUGUCGCAAGCGUUAUCCGGAUUUAUUGGGCGUAAAGCGCGUCUAGGCGGCUUAGUAAGUCUGAUGUGAAAAUGCGGGGCUCAACCCCGUAUUGCGUUGGAAACUGCUAAACUAGAGCACUGGAGAGGUAGGCGGAACUACAAGUGUAGAGGUGAAAUUCGUAGAUAUUUGUAGGAAUGCCGAUGGGGAAGCCAGCCUACUGGACAGAUACUGACGCUAAAGCGCGAAAGCGUGGGUAGCAAACAGGAUUAGAUACCCUGGUAGUCCACGCCGUAAACGAUGAUUACUAGGUGUUGGGGGUCGAACCUCAGCGCCCAAGCUAACGCGAUAAGUAAUCCGCCUGGGGAGUACGUACGCAAGUAUGAAACUCAAAGGAAUUGACGGGG